UUCAAUUUUAGUUGUGCAUUAUAUUCUUAUUCGAAAUUGACUAAAUUCAAGAUUAAGUAUCAGAUUUAACUAAAUCUAAAUUUGACGUGUGAAGAACUUUGAGAAUUAAAAGAAAUCUUGUGCUCUGAUCUGUGGUUACCGAGAUCAAUCAGAUGAUCCAUAUUCAAGGUUCUAUAUAGGGUUCUUGUUUGCUGUAGUAUAUUUUUUAUUUGGCUUGUUGAAUUUUAUGUUGUCAAGCUAGUAAUUAACUUGUGCAAAACAGUUGAACAAAUAAUAAUGGCAUAAAAAAAUAUUUCUCCUACGUGUGAAAAUUAGAAAAGUAGAUACCAAUAGUGUCCCAUAAUCCAAGGUUAAUUGUACUGCCAUCAACCACAACAUUUGCAUUAAAGUUGUCAAAAACUAUAGGCACAUAGUGAUGAUUUCUUGCUUAAGUUUAAGCUUGGUUUUUUCUCCUAUUUGAAAAGCAUGCUAGCAAGAUUUAGUGAUAAUUUCUUGCUUGUUUCUGUUUGUAUAUAUUCCAAUAUUAUAUUCUGUUUCUUGUUUUGCUUUUUAAGUAUUUUAUGCAUUCUUGGAUUGGUGUGACACUCCUCAAAUCUUGAGUGCAGAUCAUAACAUUUAAUAUCUCAUUAGUUGUCCAUGGAACCAUUGCAGAAAAUGAUGAUUUUCACAAGGAAGAAUCCAACCCAUAUGCUGUUCCCGUUAGCAUGGCAUCUUCAGAGUCUUGGUUAGUCCUUUAGGGAUAACAACCAUUACAAUAAUUAGAAGGAUUGUAUCAAAUCACGAGGCAUUCCAGAAAUGGAAUGAAAAGAAAGGGGAGAGUGAGAAGAGAUACUACGACAGUAAGACUCAUGCCCAUGAAGACUGAAUGAUUUCUAUUGUUCUCGGCAUUAGAUAUGGAAGCUUAGUAAAUUUGUAGGCCUUAUUUUAUUCUUUCUCUGUUAGUAAAAUAAAAUGAUAAACAUAAAAUGAUAGUUCUGUACUAUUGUUCAAUUUGAACCAUAAUUGGACAUUGCGAUCUUUGCAUAUGAUUAAUCAUUUGCUAAACUGAUUUAGCCAGUGAUAUGUUUGUAGUUAACCAUGAUUAUUAUCUCUGAAUAAACUCAUGGUUAAGUAAACCAUGGCUGAAUUAGUUUGGAAAAAUGAUCCAACUUUAUGAUUCAAGCUGAGCAAAGCUAUCAUUUUCACUUUAGUUUGGUUUUUGGUCUCUUAUCUAGAUUUAUCCCCUAGCUUUUUUUAAUAACAUGUUACAUUUUAUUAUUGCUGUAUGUGAAUUUUAUGAGGAUUGAUCGUCUUUGGUCGAAUUCCUUUUGUUCUUCUUUGAUAAAUUAGUAGAUAUAUUCAUUGA